AGGGCACCACCAGGAGUGGAGCUUGCGGUUUAAUUUGACUCAACACGGGGAAACUUACCCGGCCCGGACACUGGAAGGAUUGACAGAUUGAGAGCUCUUUCUUGAUUCAGUGGGUGGUGGUGCAUGGCCGUUCUUAGUUGGUGGAGCGAUUUGUCUGGUUAAUUCCGAUAACGAACGAGACUCUAGCCUAUUAAAUAGGCUGCUGGUUUUAUAACACCGGCAGGACUUCUUAGAGGGACAGGUGGCGGUUCAGCCGCACGAAAGAGAGCAAUAACAGGUCUGUGAUGCCCUUUGAUGUCCGGGGCCACACGUGUGCUACACUGAAGAGAUCAGCAUGCGUGAUAUUCCUGCUCCGACCGGAGUGGGGAACCCAGUGAAACCUCUUCGUGAUUGGGGUAGAAAGAUUGAAAUUAUUCUUCUUGAACGAGGAAUUCCAAGUAAAUGCGAGUCAUAGGCUCGCGUUGAUUACGUCCCUGCCCUUUGUACACACCGCCCGUCGCUACUACCGAUUGAACGAUU
rnacentral:rRNA from 1 species